rnacentral:rRNA from 1 species
AUACGUAGGGUGCAAGCGUUAAUCGGAAUUACUGGGCGUAAAGCGUGCGCAGGCGGUUUUGUAAGACAGUGGUGAAAUCCCCGGGCUCAACCUGGGAACUGCCAUUGUGACUGCAAGGCUGGAGUGCGGCAGAGGGGGAUGGGAUUCCGCGUGUAGCAGUGAAAUGCGUAGAUAUGCGGAGGAACACCGAUGGCGAAGGCAAUCCCCUGGGCCUGCACUGACGCUCAUGCACGAAAGCGUGGGGAGCAAACAGGAUUAGAUACCCUGGUAGUCCACGCCCUAAACGAUGUCAACUGGUUGUUGGGGAUUUAUUUUCUCAGUAACGAAGCUAACGCGUGAAGUUGACCGCCUGGGGAGUACGGCCGCAAGGUUAAAACUCAAAGGAAUUGACGGGG